AGAACGAACGCUGGCGGCAGGCUUAACACAUGCAAGUCGAACGGUUGUAGCAAUACAGCAGUGGCAGACGGGUGAGUAACACGUGGGAACCUUCCUAGGGGUACGGAACAACUCAGGGAAACUUGAGUUAAUACCGUAUACGUCCGUGAGGAGAAAGAUUUAUCGCCCCUAGACGGGCCCGCGUAGGAUUAGGUAGUUGGUGAGGUAACGGCUCACCAAGCCUACGAUCCUUAGCUGAUCUGAGAGGAUGAUCAGCCACACUGGGACUGAGACACGGCCCAGACUCCUACGGGAGGCAGCAGUGGGGAAUCUUGGACAAUGGGCGCAAGCCUGAUCCAGCCAUGCCGCGUGAGUGAAGAAGGCCUUCGGGUUGUAAAGCGUCUUUUACCGUAGGGACGAUAAUGACGGUACCUGGAGAAUAAGCCCGGCAAACUUCGUGCCAGCAGCCGC
rnacentral:rRNA from 1 species